CCACACGACUCUCGGCAACGGAUAUCUCGGCUCUCGCAUCGAUGAAGAACGUAGCGAAAUGCGAUACYUGGUGUGAAUUGCAGAAUCCCGCGAACCAUCGAGUCUUUGAACGCAAGUUGCGCCCGAGGCCACCAGGCUGAGGGCACGCCUGCCUGGGCGUCACGC
rnacentral:rRNA from 1 species